CACAUUCACGGUUACAUAACUACAUCACUGCCUCAAAAAGUCAGAUAUUACAGAAUAUACAUUAAAGGGGCACUAUGUAGUUUUGGAGAAGAAAUUCAUAUUUGUGAGGCAUGCAUGAUGAAGGAAACUUGAUCAGUCCUGAACCAGCAGCGGGAACCCCACUGGCUCCACUCGCCCAAUUCGCACUCUGCAGGACGCUGACCUGGGUGGCAAAAAUAAAAGAAACAAGAAAUCCGACACAGAAGACUGAGCACCAGUCUUUUCGUCUGCUCCGUCUUGGUGGAGCGCAGACACAAUAAUCCACCCCAGGAGAACGCAAACCAUUUCUGCCAAGGUGUUGAUAGAUCGAUGGUUCCACGUUGUAACCCUAGCUCUAUGAACACAGCUGGAGGCUGCUAACAGGACUUCAACAGGGAUGGCCAUGGAAACACAGAGGAGUUCAAUACCACCGACACAGAGGAGAUACAAACAGAGAACCCCGUGGUAACAUGCAAACUUUAAAAAGAAAUGCAGAAAAAAGGGGAGAGCCAGAAUCUCCUCUUGGACGAGGACCAAGAUCGAUGACUGGACGAGCCACUGACAGCCAGGUCCAAACUAAAUGUAUCCAGCUUUCACGGGGGUCCAGGAAGACCUACCAGGACGCUAAGGCCAAAGAGAUCAAUUGUUUGUCGAUGGCGACCCACCCAUUCAGCCCAGACUGAAGCCAAGGAUAUAUUAUAUUUGAAUGUGGAGCUUCACACUGGAAGCAAAGGAGGUUCCUCACUCAAAGAGCCUGUGUUCUCACGAAGAUCAGGAUGGGAACGAGAGGCACAGUCCUUCUGCGCCUUUUCCCAGAGCCUCUCAUCCUUCCACAGGCCAAGUCUACUGCCAAGAGAAGUUCCAGGUGGUCUCCAGGCUGUCUUUGAUCCUCACCAACCGCGGUUUCUUGGACAGAUCGGUCAGUGUAAUCGCUAGUGUUUCGGAGUGCUCAGGGGAAACAGUAGUGCUCCAUUUCCCUUUCAUGGCAUGACCUCAGCAGUGGCAACCAUAGCCUUGAGGUGACACAGACCUCCGUCCAACUAGGCUUCUCUGUUGUCCUUAUCUAAUUGAAAGGGCAGCAGAUAAAUGUUAGAGACAAGCUGCCUUGAUGAGGCACAGAAAAACAAGCAGAGAGAGGAGAGUGGGGUGUUGGUGCCCACCUCCGGUGAACACUAUUUCGAUUGAAGUGGAGAAAAUUGUUGGCAAGGACCAGUAUGGCACACAGCCCCCCUGAAACUUGCCAUGCAACUCCUACUUUUAGCUGACCCUUCAAGUUUACAUCAAGGGCGAACACACGGUCCAGUUACUGACACUCAAAGUGUAGCAGAGGUCCAAUCUUUGUUUGCACGAACACCCUGCGUUGGCAGGGGGAAGCUGGUGCUGCGGACCAGAUGCACAGACGUGGUGCAGUGAGGGGCCUGAACUCCACUGCAGCUCGUCUUUGGACUUUGGAGUGAGAGGAGUGUGUUUGUCUUGGAUGAACUAGAGACAGACCUGCUGCCAGCUUCUUUGAGCAAGUGAUCGACCAACCAAAUGGGUCUGAUACAUCAAGAUUGCGGGUGCGGUAGCAUUUUCGCAUUUCACUUAAGAUUAGUAUUAGUUCCAGAGAAGCUGUUGACACAUCAUUUUCCUAUCACAAGAUAAUAAUUUUAUUGUCCUACAAGACAGCAUGGGAUAACGUGCAUCCGUGUCUUUAACAGUGUAUUUUAUUUGACAUUUUGGGCCACAAGAAAAAGACAAGAUGAUUUUAGACACCACAAAGACAGACAGGCUUCAUUUUCUCUUGUCUAAGAGUGUGGGAGAACUCUUCCUUGAUGCUCUGCCAUGAAAAACAUUAAGACGUUGUUCCAUGAAAAUCCCUUGAAAUAGUGGUUAUUUAGGCCUUUUGGGCCUAUUUCCUAGGUUCCCUGUAAUAGUUUCCACAUGUUUCUGAAGAGAUAUCCAUCUUAUCAGGCAAAAUACUAACCAAAAGUGAAAAAAAAAAAUGUUUCAGGUAACUAAAUGACUUCUUGUAAAACCACACAUUUCCAUAAACCCUGUUCAGUUAUUGCCCUCUCCUGGAGGUCUAGCAGUGGGGUUGGCAGGGCAGCGUCUUUUUUUUUUUUUGUUUCUUACUAACAUCAGAGUUGCGUUUUAAUGAUGACUAAUGAAGUGAUUAUGCGUGAAUUCCCACCAAGUGAGAAAAUUUCCACUUGAAAAAUGGUAAACAAAUUGUAAAAAAAAAAAAAAUGUCUCAGUGACACAGUAAAUAAUUUAUAUUACGACUCAAACUAAAGGUCACCGAUUAUACAAGUGGAAACUGACCUGUGAGCCAAGUUUUGUGAGUGUGCAGGCCACAGUAAAUUCUCACCUUAUUGUGGCUUAUCUCAGCCACAAACGGUGGUUUACAUGCCACAGAUUAGUACUCAUAAACACUGUUCAUUAGAGGGCUCCGAGAACGCCUCCCAGAGGUCCUUGCCAACAGAUUAUCCUAUAAUUUAUGUGGUGUGAAACUUGUGGCCAUGACGAGCUGUGAACGAAAUAAGUGGAAGAUUUAGCUUUGGUGAAAAUAAACACAGAAGAUAUUACGCAUUAGCGAAACAUAUUCUCUCGAAAAACAACAUAAUCCAUCACUUCAUCUCCAGCUGGGUUUUUCCACGAUUGGUUUUUCAUUUGUUUCAUGAUUCAUGCCUCUCUCUUCUCAUCAUUCCCUCAUUUGCCUCUCUGUAGUUUCAAAUCUGUCUAAUCCCCACUUGAAGCUGGCAAUAAUAUCUCUAUAUAUAAAUGAGGUGCGGCUCUAUUUGAAGACAGGAGCUCCUGGCUUGGGUUCGUCGCUCUCUUCAGUGCUUCGAGAUGCGAGUGGCGUCAUGGACCCAAGAGGUGUGUAAAAAGGACAUUAACAUUUCAAAAUGUCUUCAGAUCUUCAAUUCAAAAAUAAAGUAAUUACAUUGAAAUAAAUAAAAUCAAAUUUGGAGCAUUUAAUGUCGGGAAAUUCCACUGGGAUGAGAUGGUUUAUAUAUUAUUCAUAGAUACUGCAUACAGGUUUUUUCAUCUUUAGUCUCUGAUAGUCUCUAAUCUUUCAGAAUUGUUUAUUUCACUAUAAGAUGGAUUUCAUGAAAUUUUGGAAAGAUCACAGGUCUCCUGAGGCUUUUAGUAAGACGUGGCCACAUUGAGGACUAUUAGAUGGAUUUCCAUGACAUUUGGUACAGACCUUCCGUCUCCUCAGGAUGAUUUGUAGCCUUUGUUUAGUGCCUUUAUUUGAUGACAUCCUCUCGUGAGUGAAACUGCGCGCUUCAGCUGAGUCGGGGCUAUGUUGGGUAGUUAACAGCCUGAGUUCCAGUUUCUGCUGGUCAUGUUUUGCACCGCGAGCACAAUAAAAUCAUAAAAGAAAACAAAGUGUUCCUCCAUCAGUCAUCUGAUCCACUGAUUAACGUGGCUGAAUAUGUUACCUUUCCAGAGCCACGGCUCUGAACCAUAGUCACAAGAUCCCUGGUUUUACAUUUUGCAUAACAGCAAGCUUAGUCGUAGCUUUUCACAAUGCAGACCAACUUGCUGCAUACUAUUUAAUAACAAUAACAUUUUCUUUCUGUGGCAGCAAAAACAACAAACAGCCUCUCAGUAACUAUUAUUAAUCCUCUGAAAACUGAGUUUAUCUAAUCUUACACACUUCAGGGCAGACUUAAGUAAUAUGCGCAUGAACCUUUCUGUGCCUGCAGCUACAUGCUGGUUCCCUGCUUGUGUCAUCAGGUCAAAAUUUGUGCAUGGCCAAUACUUCGGAUUACAACUGAACACUUGCAAAACUAAUGACACUUCCAUCAGCCUGGCCUGUGCUUUGUGUUAAGUGCUAAUUAGCAAAUGUUAGCGCUGAUAAUUUGCACAAUGGUAAACCUGAAACUGGUUAAUAGCUGUGCACGAGAACUGAUGCAGUCAGGAUGUUAGAAUGCUCACAUUAGCAGCACAGUUGUGCACAGACUGUAAAGUUGACUUUACUAGGCAAUUCAUCGGUUCCCUGAUUUUUUCUUAAGUAAACUAUAAUAUUUAAGUCGUAUGAGCUUCAAAAGUUAAAGUGUAGUCUUUACUUGGUCAUUUUGUGAAGUAAAGUCACUUUGUCAGAUUUCACAGUGUAAGAGCAGCCUCACAAAGCUCCUACCAUGGCUGUAAAUUUCUGUUUCCACCCGAAACGAAAAACUCAUGAUGAUAAUCUGUAUCAUCACGCCCUUCUUGCAUUGGUGCCUCCUGUCACUUUACAGGAAAAAACUUGAUGUAACGACUAAUGACAGAGCAGUGACCGUCAGCCCUUCGGUAGCCCUCCAGAUAAGCCACGAAGUGCUCUCUGCAGAGAUGUUGGCUUUCUGUUGCCAACGCUGUCGACAGCGGGGCUAUAAGGAGGAGCGACCUUCGGGCCCUCGUCGAUUUUUCUCUUUUUGUUUAGUCAGGCCGGCUGGAGGCUGUGCUCCGUCAUCUAGCCGGUGUUCCAAAUUUGACUCAAAGCAGAGACUCGGCAAGCGAGCCAGGCUGAAAUAUUAUCCACAAAUGCACACAUUCACAUGAACAGUUAUGAGGAGCUUCAAUGCUGGGGGACCGUCUGGAGAAGAAAGCAUCCGUCACACUAACCCCAUUUUACUUAUUCCCAUCCCUGUGUGUAUGGUAGAUAACAAAAGAGAAAGCUCGAGCACCUUUACCCACUGAAAUCCUCUGCAUCUGGUAUUUAUCACCGCAUGAACGUGGGAUGUGGGGGUGCAAAAAAAGCAAAUGUUUAUAAUUCCUGCCUCAGUGUAUCAUAGCCUUUCCGAGCAGAGGAAGCAAUAGCUUAAUUGUACUGUUUAUGAUGACGCUGUGUUUUUUACAAGUCACUGUAAAAUUUCUGUUGUCACCUUGUUAGAUUCUCACUGUUUUCCAUUAAACAAAUCCCUUUUUAAGCCCA